rnacentral:rRNA from 1 species
CGGCCGCAAGGCUGAAACUCAAAGGAAAUGACGGGGGCCCGCACAAGCGGUGGAGCAUGUGGUUUAAUUCGAAGCAACGCGGAGAACCUUACCAGGUCUUGACAUCCUUUGACAACCCUAGAGAUAGGGCUUCUUCUUUGGGAGCAGAGUUACAGGUGGUGCAUGGUUGUCGUCAGCUCGUGUCGUGAGAUGUUGGGUUAAGUCCCGCAACGAGCGCAACCCUUGAUCUUAGUUGCCAUCAUUUAGUUGGGCACUCUAAGGUGACUCCCGGUGACAAACCGGAGGAAGGUGGGGAUGACGUCAAAUCAUCAUGCCCCUUAUGACCUGGGCCACACACGUGCUACAAUGGACGGUACAAAGAGCUGCAAGACCGCGA